CUACGGGAUGCUCCAGUGAGGAAUAUUGCACAAUGGGGGGAACCCUGAUGCAGCAACGCCGCGUGGAGGAUGACGCAUUUCGGUGUGUAAACUCCUUUUAUAUGUCAAGAAAAUGACGGUAGCAUAUGAAUAAGCACCCGCUAACUCCGUGCCAGCAGCCGCGGUAAUACGGAGGGUGCAAGCGUUACUCGGAAUCACUGGGCGUAAAGGACGCGUAGGCGGGUUGGAAAGUCAGGUGUGAAAUCCUACAGCUUAACUGUAGAACUGCACUUGAAACUUCUAAUCUAGAGUAUGGGAGGGGGAGAUGGAAUUAGUGGUGUAGGGGUAAAAUCCGUAGAUAUCACUAGGAAUACCUAAAGCGAAGGCGAUCUCCUGGAACAUUACUGACGCUAAGGCGUGAAAGCGUGGGGAGUAAACAGGAUUAGAUACCCGGGUAGUC
rnacentral:rRNA from 1 species